rnacentral:rRNA from 1 species
GCAUAUCAAUAAGCGGAGGAAAAGAAACCAACAGGGAUUGCCUUAGUAACGGCGAGUGAAGCGGCAACAGCUCAAAUUUGAAAGCUGGCCCUUUUAGGGUCCGCGUUGUAAUUUGUAGAGGAUGAUUCGGCGAGGGCUCCCGCCUAAGUCCCCUGGAACGGGGCGUCAUAGAGGGUGAGAAUCCCGUAUGUGGUGGGCUGCCUUAGCCAUGUGAAUCUCCUUCGACGAGUCGAGUUGUUUGGGAAUGCAGCUCUAAAUGGGAGGUAAAUUUCUUCUAAAGCUAAAUACCGGCCAGAGACCGAUAGCGCACAAGUAGAGUGAUCGAAAGAUGAAAAGCACUUUGGAAAGAGAGUUAAAAAGUACGUGAAAUUGUUGAAAGGGAAGCGCUUGCAACCAGACUUGUCCGCAGUUGCUCAGCCGGUCUCCUGACCGGCGUACUCUUCUGCGGCCAGGCCAGCAUCAGUUCGGGCGGUCGGAUAAAGACCUCGGGAAUGUAGCUCCUCUCGGGGAGUGUUAUAGCCCGGGGUGGAAUGCGGCCAGCCUGGACUGAGGAUCUCGCUUCGGCAAGGAUGCUGGCGUAAUGGUUGUAAGCGGCCCGUCUUGAAACACGGACC